rnacentral:rRNA from 1 species
GAUUCCCUCAGUAAUGGCGAAUGAACAGGGAUCAGCUCAGCAUGGAAAUUGGGGCCCUCGGCCUUGAAUUGUAGUCUCGAGAUGCAUCGCCAAUGGAGGCGCAGAUGUAAGCCUCUUGGAAAAGAGCAUCAACGAGGGUGAGAGUCCCGUUUGUCAUCUGCAGUCCCCCAUGCACGGCGUGCCUUCUAAGAGUCGCGUUCCUCGGAAUUGGAGCGUCAAUUGGGUGGUAAAUUUCAUCUCAAGCUAAAUAUUGGUUCGAGACCGAUAGCAAACAAGUACCAUGAGGGAAAGGUGAAAAGGACUUUGAAAAGAGAGUUAAAAGUGCCUGAAAUUGCUGAAAGGGAAGCGAAUGGAACCAGUGUUGCUUGGCGAGAUUGUCGUACGCAUUCGCGUGUGGUGGUUCUUGCCUUGUGUGUCAACGCCAGUUCGCGAUCGAGGAAAACUCCAGGGACAUGGUAGCCUACCCCUGGGUGGGUGAAUGUGCCUGGUAGAACUCAUUUGCGGACUGUUUCCUUCGUGUCUGGUUGCAGUGCUGCUUGAUCCUGUGUUGGCGCUUGGGGGUGGGAGCUCGCUCCUCACACCCUGCCCUUCUAAGGUUCUCGGCGCUUCCCUGACACAUAGACGAUGACUAAAUGGUUCUAUUCGACCCGUCUUGAAACACGGGAA